ensembl:lncRNA
GGCACAAGCUCACUGCAACUGGACAGGUGAAGAUUGGGGAAAAUGGUGGUUGAGACCACUGGGUGAGUGGAGUGGAGCUUACACUGUGACAGAGAAAGCAGCUGGACUACAGUAAACGUUUACAGGCCAGGUGGAGUUACACACUCGUCUGGGCUUGGCCUUUGGUCUUGUCUCUGUGUGUGUUUGAAGGAGAAGUGUGUGUGUGUGUGUGUGUGUGUGUGUGUGUGUGUGUGUGUGUGUGUGAGAACCGUGGAACAAAAACACUAACAAUGCAUUCAUUUAAUAACGACCAAAAAGUGGUUACCCGGUAGCAUUAUGCAGAUGCACUCAUGCUACAGUGGCUGAACUGUGAAAAAUAUUCAGCAGGAAGGUUAGUUCAUGUAACAGAGGGGUUGGGAUAUGCCUAUAUUUAAAUACUGAAUUCAAAUUUAUUUGCUCAGAGAAAAAAAAAAAAGUCUUAACUGGUUAAUUCAGCUAGAUAGAUUUUCUCCAAAUGUCCUAAAACCUAUUUCACGAUAAAAAAGGAAAGCUAAAUAGAUUCCAUAGUUGGGGUGCCAUUUGUGUCCGACUGAAAUGACAUGCACACAUACUGUAUGUGUCUAUAGUAAAGAUAAAAUGCAUUAAAAAUAUGUAAAGUGUUCUUCAUAACAACUUAUACGCAUGUGUCAGAUAAACAGCCUUAAGCAUUAUUAAAAUCUUUUUACACUAUGUAGUAAUAAGCAUUUUGCCUCUCCCAGCUCACUAUAACUGCACUUUACCUUCAAAUAUAAUCCUCUCAGAACAGAACACUUUACCAUAAAAUAUAAUAAUCUCCAACUGAUAAUCAAGAUACUCAGAACAGUCAUUUCCAUGAGCAUUGUCAAGUUAUGAAGAAUGUACAUUUCAGUUCACAUUCACUGAACCAUCUUACCUGAACACAUUCACCCAUGUGUAAUGUUUGGUGUAUUGUAGUCACAUGUUGAACAGGAAGAUACAUCAUCCAAAUUUCCCAAAGAUCACAGUGACUUCGUUUACAUACACAUCGAUAUUUAAUUGGAAUUUGGCAAUAUUCUAAUUAGCACAGAGUCAUGUAGACACCUUAUUCAGAAAUUCCACUGAAAGGAGAUAUGUGCAUGCUCAGAUUGCAAGGAAUUGUGGGUGCUAACAGAUGCUUAGCUGUUGGCUAGGUAUUUAGGAAUGGCAACUCAGGCAUACUUACAACAACCAUUAUCCCAAUAUCGCAAUGCAUGUACACAUAUAAACAUCAUAUUCGGAAUAUGGCUGCAACAUUAAAUACAGACCUUAAAUGUAACCUGAUGUGCAUGUAAACAUAGUCAGUGAUACAGUUCUAUUGACUGAUAAGUAGGAAAUCAUUUCCUUAAUGUUCUCAUGCCAUUAAUGCCAGUUAACCAUAUUUUGGGUAAAUUGCUAAUUUUACGCCAAAAAAAAAAACAAACAAAAAAAAAACAUCCCUCAACACUGUUACUUUCAAGCCUGGUGCUUGUUCAAAAGCAAAAUACAGCCAUUUUUGUUUAUUUAUUUAUUUAUAUAUUUUUAGCAAAGAAACCUUAGAUUAAAAAUUAGAUAUGAGAUAUUGC